GUCCCGGUAGCUCAGUUGUUAGAGCACCUGUACGUGGUGAGCGAAAGCGCUUAGCAAUAACUGACGCAGGAUCGAAGCCUGCCCGGGAUU